UACAGAGGUCUCAAGCGUUUGUUCGGAUUCAUUGGGCGUAAAGGGUGCGUAGGUGGCAUGGUAAGUCGGAUGUGAAAUCCCGGGGCUCAACCCCGGAACUGCAUUCGAUACUGCUGAGCUAGAGUACUGGAGAGGAGAUUGGAAUUUACGGUGUAGCAGUGAAAUGCGUAGAUAUCGUAAGGAAGACCAGUGGCGAAGGCGGAUCUCUGGACAGUUACUGACACUGAGGCAACGAAGGCCAGGGGAGCAAACGGG
rnacentral:rRNA from 1 species